AGCGAACGCUGGCGGCAGGCUUAACACAUGCAAGUCGAGCGCCCCGCAAGGGGAGCGGCAGACGGGAGAGUAACACGUGGGAACGUACCCUUUGGUUCGGAACAACCCAGGGAAACUUGGGCUAAUACCGGAUAAGUCCGUAAGGAGAAAGAUUUAUCGCCGAAGGAUCGGCCCGCGUCUGAUUAGCUUGUUGGUGAGGUAACGGCUCACCAAGGCGACGAUCAGUAGCUGGUCUGAGAGGAUGAUCAGCCUCACUGGGACUGAGACACGGCCCAGACUCCUACGGGAGGCAGCAGUGGGGAAUAUUGGACAAUGGGGGCAACCCUGAUCCAGCCAUGCCGCGUGGGUGAUGAAGGCCUUAGGGUUGUAAGGCCCUUUCGGCGGGGAAGAUAAUGACGGUACCCGCAGAAGAAGCCCCGGCUAACUUCGUGCCAGCCGCCGCAGUAA
rnacentral:rRNA from 1 species